UACAGAGGUCUCAAGCGUUGUUCGGAUUCAUUGGGCGUAAAGGGCGCGUAGGCUGCGGGGCAAGUCGGGUGUGAAAUCUCAGAGCUCAACUCUGAAACUGCACUCGAUACUGCUUUGCUCGAGGACUGGAGAGGAGAUUGGAAAUUCACGGUGUAGCAGUGAAAUGCGUAGAUAUCGUGAGGAAGACCAGUGGCGAAGGCGGAUCUCUGGACAGUUCCUGACGCUGAGGCGCGAAGGCCAGGGGAGCAAACGGG
rnacentral:rRNA from 1 species